ensembl:lncRNA
AAUCACUUUGCUGUAUACUUGAAACUAACACAGCAUUGUGAAUCUAUAUGCCCCAAAAAAUUAAAAUUAAAAAAAAUGAGAACUGAGUUCCAGGGACGUAUGAAACCCAAUGUGACCCCACAGGGAAGGGUCAAGGGCCAUAAAUACUCAAAGUCUCCCUCCUUUGGAUCUCCUGCCAGUGUUUCUCACUCACCCAAAGCACUUGGAAGCUGGAGAGAGGCUGUGCAGCCUCUGGGAUAAAAUAAGAAGUUGGAAAAAGAAGAAAGAGAGUGAAUUAGAAGGAAGCAUGUGAAGAUACUCCAAGUGGAAAAUGAAGGAAAAUGAUUCUGAAGUGGCAACCAAGGUAGUCACCACAGCUGCUUUCAUAAAGGGUACAGUCACCUAUUUAUACAACAAUUUUUCUGGGAAGUUAUGUUACUCAAGAAUUUACAGUGGAUUUAACUUAAUCUUCAUAGAAACAGCCCUCUUUUACUUAUCAACAAUUUUCAGUUUCUUAUCAAAGCUGUCAAUGAUGGUUAAUUUCUGUGCAAUCCUCAUGUCUGAAAAUUUCAUGGAUCAGCAUCUCCUCCAACUGCCUGUUUGGUCCAUUUUAACAGCCUAGUUUUGCAGGCAAUGUCAAUGAUUAAUGAAUCCUGUGUGGUGAACCAGCAGCUUGCUUGGUAUUUCUGACCUGGGUACUUUAAAACUCAUUACUGGUACCUACUGAAGCUUUUCUAAUGGAUUUAAAAUAGACUGCACUGCUGUUAACAUGAUUCUGCUCUUACGUGAUCUAGAUUUUCAUGUUCCUUGUUUGUGUGUUGCAACUUGUCAUUGUUAGGCACUAUUAACAGACAUGCUUAAAAAAAAGUCAGCCUACACUCAGGGUAACAAUUUACCAUAUAUCAUUUAGAUAAAGUUACAUGUCUAAACAAUGGGCUUUUGACACAUGAUAGCACUUCUUUAAUGUAGAAUUUUUGUGUCUAAUAUGACAAAUAAAGCCAGGUCUAUAAGAAAAUAGUGUGCUGGAAUGCUCCCUAUAAUGGAUAUUGAUUAUUUGCUCAAUAUUUCUUUUUCCAAGUGGCUGUAGCAGGGACUGGUAAACAUGUUACUCUAUCUCUGUCCCUCUGUGGGUGGGAACAUGCUCUAAGCUGGCCGAGCAAAUAAACUUCUUUUCCUGAUCACUGUGAUUGAUUCAAGAAUGUGGCUCAAGCACAAGCC